rnacentral:hammerhead_ribozyme from 1 species
CUGCAACCGAGGAGUCCCACAAUAGGACGAAACGGCCGUCCAGUGC